rnacentral:rRNA from 1 species
UCCUCCUUUUUCUCUCUUUUCUCUUCCUCCCUUUUCUUAAAUUUUUCUUAUUAGGGCAGGUAAGUCAGUGGUGAAAUCCCCGAGCUUAACUUGGGAACUGCCGUUGAUACUAUCUGUCUUGAAUGCUGUGGAGGUGAGCGGAAUAUGUCAUGUAGCGGUGAAAUGCUUAGAUAUGACAUAGAACACCAAUUGCGAAGGCAGCUCGCUACACAGUUAUUGACUCUGAGGCACGAAAGCGUGGGGAUCAAACAGG